GAUGAAGAACGCAGCGAAAUGCGAUACGUAAUGUGAAUUGCAGAAUUCAGUGAAUCAUCGAGUCUUUGAACGCACAUUGCGCCCCCUGGUAUUCCGGGGGGCAUGCCUGUCCGAGCGUCAUUGCUGCCCUCAAGCACGGCUUGUGUGUUGGGCCUCCGUCCUCCUCCCGGGGGACGGGCCCGAAAGGCAGCGGCGGCACCGCGUCCGGUCCUCGAGCGUAUGGGGCUUCGUCACCCGCUCUUGUAGGCCCGGCCGGCGCUUGCCGACACAUCAAUCUUUUUUCCAGGUUGACCUCGGAUCAGGUAGGAAUACCCGCUGAACUUAAGCAUAUCAAUAAGCGGAGGA
rnacentral:misc_RNA from 1 species